UGGAAGCUCAAAAUUUUAUAGAGGGAGUAAUUUCAGAUUCGCGCCUCUGUUUCACACAUUUACCCUCUCUGUGUAUACACCACAACCACAGAACCUCUCUCUCAGCAAACCUCACCACCGCAAAUCAACAAACCUCACGGCGAUCAAACCUCACGACCGCGCAUCCUCACACCGUCGGUCCCCGUAUGUUGCAAAUUAGCACCGCCACUGCCGCUAACAGUUCCAAUUCAAUAAUUAAGAAGAAGAAUUGGAACUUGUGGAUUGGUGCUAGAAAGAAUGUGGUGAGGAGAGAAAAUAUAGAGGCCGCCGUAAGGAGGGUGAUGGACGGCGAUGAUGGUGACAGAGAAGGCUAAAGUGCUGGAAGAGAUGGCAUUGAAAGCUGUUAAAGAAGGUGGAUCAUCUCAUAGAAAUUUGACGGUGUUGAUUGAAGAGUUUGAGCAACUAAAAGAUCAAAGGGCUAAUGACGUUUGAGGGUUAUUCCAUUGUCUAUGUUUCUGUUCUUCACUGCUUAUUACAUUUUAUUGAAAUAAGGCAUUCGAAUGGCUUUUAAUAGUUAAAUUUUGUAUAUGGUUGGAAAUUGAAUGCUACAGGUUGUAGAGAAAUAUUUUUAUUGAAUGGUUGAGAAUUGAAUGAAUGAAUGAAUGGAUGAAUAAUUUUGUA